CUGCAGGGUUUCCGGGUCACCGGCCUCUGAGGCGCCUGUGGUUCCGCGCGUUCCAGCCGGUCCUCUCCCAGCUGCCCGGUACCCAGAGGGUAACUCAGAAGCCAGGUUUGAAGGUGACUUCCUUCCAUUAGCCACAGUUUGAAGGUCUCCUGAAAAGUGUUGUCCUCAUUGUUUGUGAAAAAGGGAUGUAAAAAUUAGUAAAGAUUACUGAUUAUAUUUCUUAUAAAAAUAACAUUUAAGUGUUUUAUUAUGCAAAGAUACUGUUUGUAAUGUAGCUGCUUCUGCUGAGGGGAAUCGACCGGUUAAGGUCUGGGAAAGGGGGAUUUUUACUGUGUGUAUGAAUUGUGUACUGUGUGCAUGCAUUUCCCAUUCACAAAAAUAAAUAAUAGUUAUAUAACAAUAGUCAUUUUUAGUAGAUAUAUGUCUAAAUAGGGAAUCACUGUCUCUUUUUGUGGUUCCAAGAGAAAAUGGAUUCUAAAUAUGGGAAUAUGUGGUGAGAAAAGAAACAAAUGGACCACAUUUCUUGUCUCCAGACAAGUUUAGCGUUUUGAGGUUGUGGAUACUUUAAAUCUUGGUAUGCUUUCUUCAAUCUAUUUACUAUUAGCCUUAGGACUAGUGUAUAUUAUGCCUAAAUUCCGAUACUCUGCUGCCUUUCAGUUUUAGCUUUGUGUGUUGUUUUCUAUUUUAGGAAGUAACUAUGAGUAUUUUGUUAUUUAUUUAUUUUUUAUAACUGAGUAUUUUAGAUACAUCCUGAUUAUGCAUCAUAGGCUUUUAGCCAAAUGCUAUUAUAUGUCAAAAUUCAUAGACAAAUUAUUAGAAUUGCAGAACAAAUGGAAUUAACUUUAAAUUUUGAGGUUGGAAUGAAAAAAAAUCUUUAAUGAUUUCAUAAAGAACAACUCCAAAAGUGUAGCAUGUAAUUAUAGAAUGUUAGUAAACAUACAUAGAUUGAACACUUUCGAUAAAAUCAUGUGUAAUGAAAUGCUUUUAAAUCAUGUUCCAAAUUCAUUAUAAAGUUAUUAAAUACCUGAAAACUGCUCUAUGAGUAGUGAAUAUUCUAUAUAUUGAUUCAGAUAUAUAAAAAUCAGUUGACAGUCCACUGGUUUUUUUAGGCACACUCAGAUUCUCUUUAAAUAUGAGAAAUAUAGCAAUAUGCUUCCUGUUAUUCUAGGAAUCAGAUUCAUAAAAUGUAGUCCCAACACUGUCACUUAAUAUCUAUGUUAGCAACAGGAUAUUAAUAACAGGGCAGCCUAACUUACAGAGUGUAGUGAGCAUAAAAAUACAUUUCACAUAUAAUUUUGCAGCUGUGUUUUGAAAAUCUUCUCAUUCUAUGAAUAUAUAUGAUGAUAGGAAAUAUAACACUGUAUGGAGGAGUUUGUAGAAAUUAUAAACUGAAAAAUUAUCUGAAUAAAAUCAACUUCAAUUCUCAGAAUAUUUUCUCAUAUAUUAGCAUGUGUGUAUUCAUGUGUUAAGCAUGUCUCACUUGUUUUGUUUUCAUUUAAAUUCUCAGUUCUGAUAAAUCAUACUAAAUAUCUUAAUAUGACUUUUUUAUUGUGAAAAUUGUUAAUUUAUUAAUUGCUAUAAUUUUUUUCACUCCUUUCUAUGUCAUGCUAAAAAACACAUAACAUAAAGUACAUCAUUUUAACCAUUUUUAAGUGUACAACUUAGUGGUGUUAUGUAUGCAUAUUGUGAAGUGGAUCUCCAGAACUUUUUUUCCUGCAGAACUGGAACUCUCUACCCUUUAAGCAACAACUCUCAUUUCCGCCAUCAUCCAGUUUCUGAUAACUUUCAAAUCAUCCUGAAAACCUACAAAUUCGACUUGAGAUUUAAAGAGAGAACAGCUG